GCCCUCUUCUCGUCUCGCCGUGCUCCCUGUCAGAUUGGCUCAUUACUGCUGCUCCUGACUGCACGCAAGGCUUCAGUACUAGUGAGGAAAUAAGGAAAGCUUUGAGUUGAAAGGAGUGGCAGGAGGAAAAAAACCUGAAAAGGAGACAUUCUGGAAUAUGAAACUGUUUUCUCAAUUUCCAGGAAGAGGUUUCCAGAUAUGAUUACUGAAGCCUAAUGCAACAAAAUUUUGAUUCCAAAGAAGAAAAUAUAAGCUGCAACGUACUUCACAUAGUGAAAUUCUUCAAACAACCUGAAAUAACAAAGAUCCAUUACUAGAACAAGGCAAGAUUUUUUUCUGGUUGAAAAGUACCAGAUCAGGUAAAUUAAAUUUCACAGUGGAAAUUUAGUAUUUUCAAUGGUACAUCUGAAAAAAGGUUUUUUUUUAAUGGGGAAAAAUAUUUUGGCCAAAUGUGAAAAAGAAAGGAGUCUGGUGGUUAUGAUGCAUGCCUAAGGUAUGAUAUGCAAGCUGAAAUUCCUUCUGUCAGCAUCAUAGUACAUUCCUAAAUCAUGUCUUGUCUAAGUGCCCUAGUCAUUAGCUCAUUUGUACAUAUGCUUCCUUCUCUCUAAAGCUUUGUAAUGUGUUCUGCACUUUGUUCACAGUGGAAAAAGAAAACAUCCAUCUCAGUGUUUUGCAGUCUGGAAAAGCUGUUUCCCAUCUAGAUCCAUUUGAAAUCAAGUAUUUUAUUUAUCCUUAAUAAAAAGUUCUUUUCUUGAAGGUCUUGAAACAUGAUGAAAUUUAGAGAAAUCUUCAGGUUUUAUUCCAUUCUUUCACGUCCUAAUAAGAACUGACCCAUAGCUGCUUGUUUUUAGUAUGUUAUUAGUCCGAAAUAGAGUACUUUGAUCAGCUCUGAGAGCCUUACAUAGAGCCCCAUGGAAAAUGGAAUAAGCCCUAAGGUGCAACUCACUUUACUGAAUAAUGUCCAACUGGAGCUUUCAGUUCAUAGCCAUGCAAACUCUGGGCAGAGAAGUUGUGGGUUUGAUGCACCAAACCCCAUCUCUCCACAACCACUGGCUUUUGGCAGAUCAUAUAUUGAUUGGAAAUUUACUUUACAGUUCAUAGACCUGUUAUUCCCAUAAAUUCUGGACAAUGUUUCCAGCUGAGCUGUUGUCUGAGUUUAGAUUCUUCAGAGCUGUAGCUCUGAAUAUAUAUAUACACAAAUAUACACUGUUAGGAUCAGGGAAUACAUGCCUUGCAAUUGCCAGUCUUAUAGGCUUUUGCCUGCAGUUUAUAUGUAAUUAUUGAGAAACUGAUAGCUUAACUGCUUGAUAUAAUACCAGAUAAGUUGUUC